rnacentral:lncRNA from 1 species
CCGACAGGCAUGAGAACCUUGUAAGGAACGCACGUACCAAAUAUAGUUAUUCAAUUCUGCCGCUGGAUCACUAUCCCUAUAUCAAGCUAACUGCAACAAAAGUUGCAGGCUCGACAAAAAUGAUCAACACAAUUUUUUUAACUAAUCAUUUAUUAAGAGAAAAAACUUGCAUACAUGUACUUACUCUACAUCUUUUUCUAAAAUAAAAUUUUACCCUGCUAGGUAGAGAAUAGGUAGGUAGAUUAUGUUGGACAUUGUUCAACUUUGAACCCCUUAACUAAGAAACAUUGACUAUGAAGAUUACCUCAGUACCAUAGUAUUAGUGUGUUAAAAUAUGGCCACAAUAAAAAAUCCUCAAUUCUCAUCCCCUCCCAUAUUGAUUUUUCGAGUCUCAAAAAAUUUUUUUUUUAGAUUUUUAGCCAAUUUUAUGUGAUUUUGUUUUAAAUUGACAUCUCUUUCAAUUAAAAUAGUUGACUGCUAAGCAUUGUACAACUGACCACUUCAAAAUGCCAAACCAAUCUACAGCAUUUAAGCUAAGAAAAGUGUUACGAAAAUUUUAACAUUUUAUAGUAUCGGCAAACAAGAUGAAGUUUGUUGAUCAUGCCAAAAGCACUUAUACUUUACAACUUGUCACAACAAAGCUGAGGUAAUCUUCAUACCAAAUAUUAAAUCAAUCUGAUGCAAAGUAGCUGAGAAAAUCUCAGUUUUCAAGACAAAUGGAAGGACAGGCAUCAGUAAACCUUAAAACACAAUACAACGGUGUUGCUUGAAGAUAAAAAUAUAUAGAUUUAUAGUUAAUCAUCGUAAAUACCUGUAGUAAGGGAUAGACAAAGAAAAAAGAUGCAUGCAAUUAAGGAUGUCUGCUGCUCAAAUUUAAAAUAACAAGGAUUUCAUGCGGUUGCUUACAAUGAAAACAACUUUGAUAUUCAAACAAAAUAAAGUAAUUAAUAAAAUCUUUAGUCUCGUGUGUAGUUUUCAAAAUAUGAGACAUUUAGAAAAUGGCAGGAAAAGGGUUUUCUUCACUUUGCUAUUUGUUAACAUUGGAAUUGUUUUUUACCCUUUAAACCAAGAAAAAAUAACAAGGAUUUCAUGCCGCGGAUCACUAUCCCUAAGUUUUGCUAGGCGAGACAAAACUUCAAAUGGUCUUAAAAGAUCUAUUGAACAAAUUUAAUGCAUUUGUAUGGAUAAAACCUGAGAAAAUAAAAAAAAAAUUACAAGAAUUCAAAAACAUGACCAGCAGACAUCCUUAAAUGAAAUAGAGAACUUUGUCUCUUUUUGAACAUAUUUACAUGUAAG